AACGAACGCCGGCGGCACGCCUAACACAUGCAAGUCGCACGAGAAAGUCCCCGCAAGGGGGACCGGUAAAGUGGCAGACGGGUGAGUAACGCGUGGGUAACCUACCCUCGAGUGGGGGAUAACCCCGCGAAAGCGGGGCUAAUACCGCAUAACAUCCCGGAACGCGAGUUUCGGGAUCGAAGGUGGCUCGCAAGAGCUACCGCUCGGGGAGGGGCUCACGUUCCAUCAGCUAGUUGGUGGGGUAACGGCCUACCAAGGCGGNGACGGAUAGCUGGUCUGAGAGGACGACCAGCCACACUGGCACUGAGACACGGGCCAGACUCCUACGGGAGGCAGCAGUGAGGAAUCUUGCGCAAUGGACGAAAGUCUGAC
rnacentral:rRNA from 1 species